UACAGAGGUCUCAAGCGUUGUUCGGAUUCAUUGGGCGUAAAGGGUGCGUAGGCGGCGCGGUAAGUCGGGUGUGAAAUCUCGGAGCUUAACUCCGAAACUGCAUUCGAUACUGCCGUGCUUGAGGACUGGAGAGGAGACUGGAAUUUACGGUGUAGCGGUGAAAUGCGUAGAUAUCGUAAGGAAGACCAGUGGCGAAGGCGGGUCUCUGGGCAUUACCUGACGCUGAGGAGCGAAAGCGUGGGGAGCAAACAGG
rnacentral:rRNA from 1 species